GUGUUAUAUUAAAACUUUUACAAUUAAUCGUUCGUGCACAUGCAAAGGGGUUUUUGUUUUGUAAACGUAGACCAAUCUCUUGGCCUACAAGUGGUUCACAGGUUUUUGAAAGAAAUGGAUAGAAAAGGCGUGCACGUUGUCUCUGAGACCAGCAACAACCUCUCCUUGAGUAUUUCGAUAAUGAUCCUUCCGCAGGUUCACCUACGGAAA
rnacentral:misc_RNA from 1 species